AACACGUGGGGAACCUGCCCCAUAGUCUGGGAUACCACUUGGAAACAGGUGCUAAUACCGGAUAAGAAAGCGGAUCGCAUGAUCAGCUUUUAAAAGGCGGCGUAAGCUGUCGCUAUGGGAUGGCCCCGCGGUGCAUUAGCUAGUUGGUAAGGUAAAGGCUUACCAAGGCGAUGAUGCAUAGCCGAGUUGAGAGACUGGUCAGCCACAUUGGGACUGAGACACGGCCCAAACUCCUACGGGAGGCAGCAGAC
rnacentral:rRNA from 1 species